rnacentral:rRNA from 1 species
UACGUAGGGGGCAAGCGUUGUCCGGAAUUAUUGGGCGUAAAGAGCGUGUAGGCGGCCAGAUAAGUCCGCUGUGAAAUCUCGAGGCUCAACUUCGAGCUGUCGGUGGAAACUAUCUGGCUAGAGUCCGGAAGAGGAGAAUGGAAUUCCCGGUGUAGUGGUGAAAUGCGUAGAUAUCGGGAGGAACACCAGUGGCGAAGGCGGCUACCUGGCCCACUCUUGACGCUGAGGCGCGAAAGCUAGGGGAGCAAACGGG